GUAAGAAAAACGAGCGGAACAGAGAAAAUGUAAAACUGACACAAUAAUAGGGCGAGAAUGGGGACCGAGAGACACAUAUUAUCAGAACACAAAGGCGGACCGCAGGGAAUUUGAAUUGCGGCGGGAUCCCCUCCUGUCGAGAGCGGAGCCCUAUCAAGCACUACAGCCUAUAGUUGUUAAAACCAGACAGAUGCGAGUCUGUAGUUCAACAGGCAAGAGCACCGUCAUGAUAAGGCGGGGGUCGUAGGUUAGAACCCAACCAGACCCAUUCAUCUGAAGACGAGUAGAGAGACGAAGGUGGAGCUCUUGAGGGGGGCAUAGGUCAGUUGGGAGAGCGCCUGCAUUGCAAGCAGGAGCUCGUUGGUUCGAUACUGUUGGCCUCCACCAGGAUAUGUUAUCAAAGUGGAGAGGCAUCCAUAUCGCUUUUUAAGGGAAGGCUGUAGAUAUCUAUCACUAGUAGGAAGAAGUAAAGUGUUGGGCAGGAGGAAAGGAUUGGACCAAGGGCUGCGAUUGCAUUAAUCGGCGCCUUUUGCGAACCAGCUACGCCCCCGGAGUCGAGCCGGUUUUGUCGUUUAGGUGUCUAGGCGGGAGUCAUGGGCUGAUUGUAACCGGCUCCCCCCACAUAGUCAAGGCGGUGGCUCUAUCCGGGUAAGCUGCAGACGCAGGUCUGUGUAGCUUAAGCAAAGGAUAGGCGGUAGGUCCUUCAAAGUCCUACGCUCUAGGAAAGGGGGGGAUCCAGCCGCA
rnacentral:misc_RNA from 1 species